rnacentral:rRNA from 1 species
AGCAGCCGCGGUAAUUCCAGCUCCAAUAGCGUAUAUUAAAGUUGUUGCAGUUAAAAAGCUCGUAGUUGAAUUUCGGGGUUAGUAGGUUGGUCAUGCCUCUGGUAUGUACUGGUCUCACUGAUUCCUCCUUCCUGAUGAGCCGUAAUGCCAUUAAUUUGGUGUUGCGGGGAAUUUGGACUGUUACUUUGAAAAAUUAGAGUGUUUAAAGCAGGCUCACGCUUGAAUACAUUAGCAUGGAAUAAUGAAAUAGGACAUUUGAUCCUAUUUUGUUGGCUUCUGGGAUUGACGUAAUGAUUAAUAGGGAUAGUUGGGGGCAUUAGUAUUCAAUUGUCAGAGGUGAAAUUCUUGGAUUUAUUGAAGACUAACUACUGCGAAAGCAUUUGCCAAGGAUGUUUUCAUUAAUCAAGAACGAAAGUUAGGGGAUCGAAGACGAUCAGAUACCGUCGUAGUCUUAACCAUAAACUAUGCCGACUAGGGAUCGGAUGAUGUUAAUUUUUAAUUGUACU